GUGCUCACUUCGGCAGCACAUAUACUAAAAUUGGAAUGAUAUGGGGAAGAUUAGUGUGACCCUUGAGCAAGGAUGACACGCAAAUUAGUGAAGCGUUCCAUAUUUAA
rnacentral:snRNA from 1 species